rnacentral:sRNA from 1 species
CGCCCUGCAGCUGGGUUGCUUCUCGCGUGCCCCUUGUGAUGGGAGGAUUAGGUCGCAGGCUCCACCCUACGUCAUCCUCCCAAGCUUCUCAAGCGUCUGGCGCUUGGGGUCACUGCCCCCAAGGAGGCACCUGGAGGGGGGGAUGGCGUCCACUCUGAUGGGGAAUGAGGGCGAGAAGAAGAGCAGCUGGCCAUCUCAAGCUGCACCCUCCUUGAGAGGAGGUCCGGCUUCGUUGUCUCGUUCUGAGGAAUACCUGUCCCGGAUCAGUACAGAACUCAUGGAGGAGGCUUUGUGCACUGCUUGCUGCCACUUGAACCCUGUGCCCAUCAAAAAAAAGCAGUCACAAGACCAAGCGACUCAGAUAUCCAAACGCGCAUUCUUCACCAACACCUGAGGCACAGACACCUGGUGAGUGAGGCUUCAAGGGAGAUGCUCUUUGUCCUGGGAGAGAGCCCUCUCCCCUCUCUUCCACCAUCUCCUGCUCCGACAGAAACCGUACCUGCAGCAAGGCAUACCUCCUGCCAACUCCUGGUGAAAAGAACAUGCCUCAAAACUACUCUUUUGCCACUCGUUAACCACUUCCGUUUGUGGGGACCUCCUGGUCAUGAGCAGCAGCAUCCCGAAGCCUUCAAAGUGUUCUGGAUUCAUCACAGGACCCUCCAGCCUCAGCCAGCAAGGAUACCACCAGGAAUGAAAGUGCUUUAAUAAAGAGACAGGGUGUGCAUUGCU